rnacentral:rRNA from 1 species
CAGCAGCCGCGGUAAUACGUAGGGUGCAAGCGUUAUCCGGAAUUACUGGGCGUAAAGAGCUCGUAGGCGGUUUGUCGCGUCGUCUGUGAAAUUCUGCAGCUUAACUGUAGGCGUGCAGGCGAUACGGGCAGACUUGAGUACUACAGGGGAGACUGGAAUUCCUGGUGUAGCGGUGAAAUGCGCAGAUAUCAGGAGGAACACCGGUGGCGAAGGCGGGUCUCUGGGUAGUAACUGACGCUGAGGAGCGAAAGCGUGGGUAGCGAACAGGAUUAGAUACCCGUGUAGUCCCUGUCUCUUAUAC